AUUGAACGCUGGCGGCAGGCUUAACACAUGCAAGUCGAGCGAGCGGCGGACGGGUGAGUAAUGUAUGGGAAACUGCCUGAUGGAGGGGGAUAACUACUGGAAACGGUAGCUAAUACCGCAUACUAUCAGAUGUGCCCAGAUGGGAUUAGCUAGUAGGUGGGGUAAUGGCGCACCUAGGCGACGAUCCCUAGCUGGUCUGAGAGGAUGACCAGCCCCACUGGGACUGAGACACGGCCCAGACUCCUACGUGAGGCAGCAGUGGUGAAUAUUGCACAAUUGGCGCAAGCCUGAUGCAGCCAUGCCGCGUGUGUGAAGAAGGCCUUAGUGUUGUAAAGCACUUUCAGCGAGGAGGCGUUACUCGCAGAAGAAGCACCGGCUAACUCCGUGCCAGCCGCCGCGGUAAUUC
rnacentral:rRNA from 1 species